UACGUAGGGUGCGAGCGUUAAUCGGAAUUACUGGGCGUAAAGCGUGCGCAGGCGGAUUGUUAAGCAAGAUGUGAAAUCCCCGGGCUUAACCUGGGAAUGGCAUUUUGAACUGGCAGUCUAGAGUGUGUCAGAGGGGGGUAGAAUUCCACGUGUAGCAGUGAAAUGCGUAGAGAUGUGGAGGAAUACCGAUGGCGAAGGCAGCCCCCUGGGAUAACACUGACGCUCAUGUACGAAAGCGUGGGUAGCAAACAGG
rnacentral:rRNA from 1 species